UAUGAAGGGGGCGAGCGUUGUUCGGAUUUACUGGGCGUAAAGGGCGCGCAGGCGGCUAUCCAAGUCAGGCGUGAAAGCCCCGGGCUUAACCUGGGAGGUGCGUCUGGGACUGGGUGGCUAGAGUUCGGGAGAGGUGAGUGGAAUUCCGAGUGUAGAGGUGAAAUUCGUAGAUAUUCGGAGGAACACCAGUGGCGAAGGCGGCUCACUGGCUCGGUACUGACGCUGAGGUGCGAAAGCGUGGGGAGCAAACAGG
rnacentral:rRNA from 1 species